AUGUUACAAGAAAUAAAGUUAAUAUUAUGGAAACACACAGUUAGAAGAAAAAGGCGUUGGUUGCUAACGCUUACCGAAUUUCUAAUUCCCAUAUUAUUAUUUACCCUAAUUACGUACGGUAGAUCUAAAAUAAAAGGUCUAGACAAACGAAUAAUCAAUUAUCCAACAUACUAUGACAUAAAGCCACUCCACGAUGUAUAUUCUUAUUUGGAUGUUGGGAAAUUAAACUUGUUGUAUUCACCUUACAAUAACUUCACUGAAAAUGUUAUCGCAAAAGUACAGAACACACUCCAAAUACCUGGCGAAAUUGUAAAAGAGUUUACUUCAUUUGAAACACUGAAGCAGCACAUUAAAAAUGGGUCAUAUUGUACAUCCAUGACAGUUGCAAUUAAUUUCAAAGGACAUGAUCCUAAACAUUUGAAUUACGAUCUGAGUUUCUACGACAAAUAUUUACUAUGGGAUACAAGAAAUUUAUUUGUUCACGAUUUAUCAGUUCAACAAGUUAAAAGAUCUUCAAAAUAUUUGUACAAAGGCUUUGUUGCAUUCCAAUUGGCUAUCAACUUAGCAUUUAUAGAGCUGCAUGAAGACAAACACCUACCUAUAAAUUUGGAUAUUUCCAUCGAAGAGUUUCCAUAUCCGCCUCACACUGAUGUUUCUCGAUUGAGUCAACUCUUUAUCAACUAUUUACCACUGAUCACAAUUUUCAGUUUCGUAUUUUUAUGCCUUUCAUUAUUACAAAGAGUUGCUAAUGAAAAAUAUGUCGGAAGUAGGGAAUUAAUGAAGAUGGUUGGUAUGGAUUCGGCUAUGUUAUGGUUAGGAUGGUUUAUUGAUGCUUUAACUGUAAAUUUUUUUUCUGUGAUACUAAUCGUCAUUUUGAUGAAAGUACCUCUCUGGGAGGUUCCAUAUCCACUUGUGGAAUAUUCAAAUGGUUUCGUUAUAUUUGCGUUUCUUUUGUUAUAUUGCAUGGCAGCUAUCACAUUUUGUUUCCUUAUAGCUACAAUAAUAAACAAACCAUCAACAGCAACCGUGGUUUUUUUGCUGAUUUGGAUUUUCUCUUAUUUCAUAUCACAGAAUUUAAUAAUCUCAUACGAAUAUUCAGCAUGGACUUUGAAAAUAUUUUUCACUUUAUUUCCCAACAUGGCACUCUAUUACGGAUACAAAGCGAUUUCGCUUUAUGAAAUAAGAGAGACUGGUGUCCAUUGGUCGAAUAUGUUUCAGUCAGGAAGCGGUGGGGAAAACGAUGUUACGAUGGGAAGCGUUUUCAUAAUGUUGAUUGUUGACAUGGCUGUCUUAACAUUGUUAACAAUCUACAUUGAGAAUAUUAAGCCAGGAAACUUCGGAAUUGCCCAACCACUUAAUUUUCCUUUAAUAAGAAUGAAGAAUUAUCUUAAAAAAUGGUUUGUUCAUGACUCACAUGCUGAUUUAACUGAAAUUCCUCUUAUUGAUCUAGAAGGAAGACAGAAGCCACCUUGUAUCGAAAUUCGUAACCUAUAUAAAAAAUUUAACAACACGGUUGCUGUUAAUAAUCUAAAUAUGACUAUCAACGAAAACCACAUAACUGUCUUGUUGGGACAUAACGGCGCAGGCAAAACUACAACAAUGCAUAUUUUAACAGGAAUGAUCAAUGCCACAAGUGGUGAUAUCAAAAUUAAGGGAAACAACAUAAAAAAAAAUACUAGUGGAACUAGAAAACUUCUUGGUUUAUGUACACAACACAACUUACUUUUUGAAGAUUUGACAGUUUUUGAACAUUUAAAAUUUUUUGCAUUGAUAAAGCGAUCGAGACAUGCUACCGAAGAAGCAGAAACAAUAUUACAAAAACUUGGUUUUAAAGAAAAAAGAGACGAAAUGGUUUCUACUCUAUCUGGUGGAAUGAAAAGAAAGCUAUGUCUUGGCAUGGCCUUGAUAGGUGGUUCACAGAUACUUGUUUUGGACGAACCUACUUCUGGUAUGGAUCCAGAAUCACGUCGUAAAGUUUGGGAUCUGUUACUCGAAUAUAGAAAAAUGAGAACUGUACUAAUUACAACUCAUUUAAUGGAAGAAGCUGAUGUUCUUGGAGACUAUAUUGCCAUCAUGGAGAAUGGACAAUUACAAGAUUGUGAUACUCCGUACAAUUUGAAAAAGAAAUACAACACUGGUUAUCACUUAUCUUUGAUCUUAAAAACACGAGCCUUCGAAGAAACAAUUACGAAAGAAAUUCAACGAUACAUUUCUGAAGCAAAAUUGUUACCUGCAAAUUACUAUACAUCAACUCACGAUAUUUGUGUUUACUUAUUACCUAUGAAUAAGAGAAACAAAUAUAAAAAAGUUUUGGAAUUAUUAGAAAAAAGAAAAGAUGAUUGGCGAAUAAUUUCAAUAGGGCUCAACUUGACGACACUUAAUGACGUCUUUUUAAAAGCGCGAGGCCAACAUCUUGGGCUUCAACAGAGCGAAGUUGACGUAAAAACAACUCCUGAUGAAAUAGAUGUAUUUCAUAAGAGACAAGGAAAUUUUACAUGUUCUAUGCGGGAUCUAUUUUUGGCGUUAAUUAUCAAACGUUGGUAUUUCUUUAAGAAAACAUUUCAUUGGUAUUUUCUUUGCAUGAUUUCAUCAAUUGCAAUUUUUCUUUUUGCGAUUUCAUUAAGCAUAUCAAAUGUGGACUACAGUAACGAUCCAGAACCUCAACUAAAUUUAACUUUAAGAGUUUACGAAAAAUCACAUUCCUAUUAUGAGUGCGAUCGUUCAGUGGAAUUGACAAAAAUAGCAUCUUUCUAUGAGAAAAUUGUUAGACAACAAGGAGGAUAUCCUCAAUUCGCAAACGAUGUUUCUGAAGAAAUUAUACAGAAGGGAACUCAAAAUAUAGCUUUUUAUAAAAGACACAUGAUUACGGCUGCUGAGUUUAAUAAAACUUCAAGUAAUCAUCUCAGUGUUAAUGUUAUGUACAAUCGAUUUGCACUUCAUGGACUUCCGAUUUCAAUUAACUUGGCAUCUAAUGCAAUCGCUCAAACAUUGCUUAACGAAAGUUAUUCAAUAAUAACAAGUAACACACCUUUGAAGUCAUUCAGUUGUAAAUCAUUUCCUCCAGAAUUAUCUGUAUUAAAUGUGGCAGGUGUGUGGGUUUUACUUAUACCUUUAAGUAUGUUAAUUUUUGGCAGCAAUUUUAUUAUAUUCCCAAAUGCAGAAGUUUCCACCAAUUUCUUUCAGCUCCAAAUAUUUGCCGGAGUCAAAUCAUAUUUUUACUGGCUUACAAAUAUUUUCUUUGAUUUUGUAUUUUCUGUUCUACAUCUAGUGCUUCUUUUUUUGUCGUUAUGGCUUUUAAAUUUGUUGGCAUUUAACUCUAUACUUUUUAGAAGAGAAGAGUUUGAAACAUUAAUGACAAUAUGUUUAUUAUACAUGGUGACGUCACUUCCUUUCUGCUAUUUAUUCAGUUUUAAGAAAACAAUGGCAACGGGAUUAACUUCAUUUUUUGUUACUGGAAUUUUUACCGGUCUUACGUGUACACUUGUUAUCGUAGCAAUGGAACUGUCUAAGGAUGAUUUCUACAUAAGGCUUGCAAAGAACCUGACCCACGUCUUCGCAACCUUUUUCCCACAAUUCAGUUUAGGUUAUAUUUGUACAAAAUUUACCACAAAAUUUGUUGAAAAUUUCAAUUGGAAAUACAUGAACCCAAACAAAAAAAAGCAUAUUUGUCGUUUGACGCCGAACCCAUGUUGUUAUGGUAAUUCGAAAGAAUGCGACAACUUCAAAAGUUAUUUUUUUAACGAUACAGUGGGAAUCCAACAGAAUCUCUUAGAAAUGUUUGUGGCAUUUGGAUUAUAUUUUCUUUUCUUAUUGCUUAGAAACACGGAAAUAAUGCGAAAAAUUCUUCAUUUAAUCAGAUUUACUCCGUCACAGAUUUAUAAUAAAUUUACAAAACAAAUAGGAAAACACGGUAAUGUACCUGCUUUAUGGGAAGAUGGUGGGAGUGAAAAUGACGCAUUAGUUGCUAAAAAAGUAGUUAAAACAUAUGGUCUAAAAACAAUACUGCAAAGUGUAACGCUGCGAGUGUGCAGGACCAUUUGUUUUGGAUUGUUGGGUGCAAAUGGUGCUGGAAAAUCGACCAUAUUUAAUAUUUUAACAAAAUCACUAUUUUUUGACGAAGGUACAGUUGUAGUAGAAGGAGUUCCCAUAACACGAAAUGAUUAUACCAAAAAAAUCGGUUACUGCCCUCAAGAGAACUACUUAAAUUUUUACCUAACUGGCAGAGAAUUAGUAUACACUUUCGCAUGUCUGAAAGGAUAUUCAGACACAGAUGCACAACAAGUUACAAAACAUUUGCUAAAGGCUUUUGAGCUUGAAAAGUAUCAAGAUAAACCUUGUUCGGACUACAGUGGUGGAAAUAAAAGAAAAUUAUGUUCCUGUCUAGCAUUUGUAGGAUCUCCACAAAUAAUAUUAUUGGAUGAACCUACAAGUGGGGUGGAUCCUUCUAGCAGACGUACCUUUUGGAAAAUUAUACGCAGCUGGAAGAAGGAUACAUCGUUUUUACUUUGUUCUCACAGCAUGGAAGAAUGUGAAAAUGUAUGGGACGAAAUAGCAAUAAUGAAAAAAGGUGUAAUAGAGGACAAAGGAAGUCUAUUGGAAUUGAAAAAUAAAUACAACAAAGGCUACACUGUUACAGUAAAAUUAAAGUCAGAUAAAGACAUUGAUUUACUUAAACAGAAACUUUCUGAACUACAAUUACACUUAUCAGAAGAAUAUGCUGGCUCUUUGAUAUAUAAAAUACGCAAUGAAAACAAACUAUUAACUGAGAUAUUCACAACAUUUGAUGCUUUACAAAUGGAAUUUCCUUGUAUUGAUGAUUACAUUGUUAAUCAAAUUUCUUUAGAAGAAAUCUUCUUAAAACUUGCAAAUGAUUCCGGUGCCGCAACCCAUAGGAAAAAAAAGAGAACAAAAAGGAGAGCUGUCCCACAGUUAUCCUCCUCUGAAUUAUCUAUCGAGGAUACGCUUCACGGUAAAGAGGUCCCUACAAUAAUGGGGCACAAUAUCGAUGACAACAAUGAGGAAAACAACAUGGACAGGAUAACUUUCAAAAAUGAAAUUGCUUCUAAAGAUACAGAAGGAUCACCAUCUGAAUCAUUUAUGACCACGAUGACCAAGACAACAGAAAACAAAGAAAAAAGCAAUAUGAAUACCGAGACUGUCAAAAGUAAAUUUCAUAGCAAAGUAAAAAAAGAAAUCAUGAAUAACAGAGAAGAAAGUACGAGGAACAUGGACAGCCAGACUAUCAAAAGACCAAAUGCUACUAAUGAUAUAAACGUAAUCUUCAAAAAAAGAAGACGUACUGUGGAUCUUGGAAAAGACUACGAACACUUAUUCAUUUCAUAUCUAAUUCUGAAAUUAAUUGAAAAUGACACGGUCGAGGAUUUCUUUAUAUCUUCUAAUGAUCACAAUUACGGUGUUUUCGACGGUGUUGUAUUAGAAGUAAAAUAUAAAGGGGAAAACAACUACCAAACGUAUGCUCUGCAAUUAACACACGAAGAAAGCGGUACACUAAAAAUGCAGGACCUAACUCAAGCCAAGGGCAACUUUAGUAUUAAAAAAUAUUUUAAAGACUAUGAGCAAAACCUAUCGAAAAGAGCUGUUAAAGUAAUUUUAUUUACGAAUCUUAAAUUUCAAAACUGCUCAGAUCACUUGAAACUGAACUUGAAAAAUGAAGAACGAGUAUAUCGUGUAUUUGAUGUUGAAGAAUUAGAAGAGUACGAAAAAUUCAACAAAUUACGAAUGCUAAUGAGUGUUUCAGAAGGAAAUGUGUACAAGGUUGAUUCUGAAGAAAAAUUUUUUGAAAAUUUUUUUUUAUUCACUAAUCAACUAAAUAUAGAUGGUUUAAAAACAGCAUGCUUCCGACAAUUCCACAAUUUGUUUUCCCUUAACAAAGAUAUUUGUCAAAAAUACUUAAACUUUAUAUAUAACUGGAGUUUAAGAGUUGGACAAAAGGAAAAGUUGCAUAAAUCCUGGAUCGAAGAAGUUUUAUUGACAUUAAUAUUAACUCCUAAUAUUCGACCAUUACUGUUUAAUGCAGAACCGAUUACCAAAAACGCUAAGUUAUUUAAAGAUGCUGUCUCCAAAUUUAAAAUUACUGUUCUUAAUAAGAACAGUUACGAGAAGGUUAAAUUUAUCUGGAAAAACGCAAUUCAUAACAUUGAUAUUAAAGAACUUAACAAAAUUGAUAUAAAAUACCAGAUAAUGUUUAAAAAUAUACAAAAUCAAGAGGAAUUAGCAAACCAAAGUACUGAAAAAAGAACAGAAAUUAAUAAAUUACUUUGGCUAAUGGGCAAAUGUCCAUUAAUCGUGGAAGACAAUGAAAGGAUUACUAAAACAAUAAAUUUAUUAAAUGUUAAUAAACAGUUGGUUAUUCUUUGCUCAGAAGAGAAGAUGGAUUCACUGAAGUGCCAAACACAAAAUAAAUCUUGUUUUCAACAUUUGGCCAACCUUAAAAACGAAGAAAAACUAUAUGAGGAUAUAAUUCGAAGUUUUACAUUUUCGAUAGAAGGACAGAGACCUGCAUUCUUAAAAGAUUUAGUGCGCAUCUGCAAAGAUGUGGAACAUGCAAUAACAACUGAUAAUCUUCUGCAAAUGGUAGAAGGCAAUUUAAAAAUUGGGAAAUCUGAAGAAUUCUCGUUACCACCUUAUUACGUGCCACGAAAUUUGACCCGAAUUUUGAUUGAUUCCAAAUUCUUGAAAAAAAUUGGAGAAGAUACCUUGGUUACUGUUAGUUGUGUUACACAUCUAGACAGCUUCAAGGAAAGAUAUAUCGAGUAUAAAAUUGUUAUCCUUGAUGACCAUUUUAAUGAAGAAGAUAUAGAGAAGAAAUGUGAAGAAAAGAAAGUUGUCUACGUCACGGAAAAUGAAUGUUCACAGGAACAGUUUGACAAAUUAUGUUCAAAAUAUCCCAAAAAAACAAACUGUCAUUUGAUGAAAUAUCGUAAUUUGGAUUGUUUCGAAUGGAUCAGAAGCUUAAAAGGAGUCAAGCAUUUGCGACAAUUUCGACUGUCGGAAUUGCAUCUUCAGAAAAACAAGUUCAUUGAAGAAUCGGAAUUUCUCACUAACUCACGCAGCAAACUUAUAAAUUUUAUAUGUCGUAAUCCAGAAAUGGGAAAAUCAACGAUAAUGAAAACUUCAAAUAAAAACAGUUUAUUUCCACUGAGAAAACAUUUGUCAGAAUUUCACCUCCAUAACAACAAUUCCAUAGAAGAAACGGAAUUCUUUACUAACUCUAGCAACAACAUUAUCAAUUCUGUAUGUGAAAAUCCAGGAAUGGGAAAAACAAUGUUGAUGAAAAGUUUAAAAAAGAACAGUUCAUCUUCCAUUUGGAUCAUAUUUAUAGUGGCAAGAAACCAUGCUCAACAUUUUUGGAACAAUUCAGAGGCUGACGUUGAAAAAUUUUUGAAUUAUAUUGUGACUGAGAAUUACAGAAAAAAUGAUACAGAGCUGAAGGUUUUUCAACAGUUCAAGUCAGAAAAACAAAUAGUUUUGGUUUGGGAUGGUCUUGAUGAAAUCAGUGACAAAACACUAAAGAUUAUAAAAAGUAUUGUAAGUGAUGUUUCUAGUAUUGGUAUCAGGCAAUGGUUGACAUCUAGAAUUCAUUUAGAAAACGAAAUAGAAACAGAAUUUGAUGUAUUUUCUAGACGUAUUGAACAAUUUCGAGAAGAAGAGCAAAAAACUUUUAUAAAGAAUCGCUUACAAGUUUCAGGUUCAGAUAGCAAAUCAUUAAACAUUUUUGAUAAAAUUAAGUCUCACAUUCGAGUUUCUCCUUAUAAUGACAUUUUGGGAAUACCCUUACAUACCUACAUUUUAACAGAGUUAUUCACUAAUGAUAAAGAAAUUGCUUUAAAUUUAUUAGGCAAAAAAGAACAAAUAUUUUUAAUAAGUGAUAUAUAUGGGUAUUUUGUUGAAACGAUAAUUGAGAAAUUUUUUAAAGAAAAAUUAAAGGUCGAUCUUGACAAUGACCACAUGUUUGAAAUAUAUAAUAAAGAGAAAACUAAUGCAAUCAAUGGAUAUAUGAAAAUUGCUAUUCAUCAUUAUUUUCCACAAUUCUUCAAUACUGAUUGUCAAGACAUUCACAAAAAAAAAGAUCCUUACGGUUUUAUAAUAAAAGUUACAGAAGAUUUGACCCCACAGUUCUUACAUAAUUCAUUUGGAGAAUAUUUUGCAGCUUUAUAUCUUUUUGAAAAUCUGGAAGAAAUUGAUAAAAUCUCUUAUUUUAUUGAAAAUGGCAAAUAUGACAACAUUCGUUUUUUUUUAGAUUUGAAUUUGUCCAGAAAUUGUAAAGCUCAUAUGGCCGUGUUGUAUAAAAGUAGUCAAAUGUUAGAUCAGUGUACUGAAGAUGAAUUAAAUCACAAAGAUUUAUUCAACCGUAACAGUUUUCAACUGUCUUUGGAAUGGAAUACAAAGUAUCCUAUUUUAAAAACAAUAAAGGGGGAAGACUCUUUCGACAUUUAUCAUGAUGAAGUGAUUCAAACAAAAAAUUACUCAAGCAUUAGCACAUGCCAUUAUUUAAGGAAAUUUAAUGAAGCAGAUUUACGAUUGAAAAAAAUAAUUCUUUUGUGUCCUUUUAUAAUAACAAGCGAUACAACUAAUCUAGAUGAAAUGCAUAUUCCUUCAAUUUUAUAUUACGCAGUCAAAUAUAAUCACGAAUUGAUCUUAAAAUACUUUGACGAAAUUCCUCUAAUUAAAAUAUAUACGAAAAGCCUAGGGACUGGUGAGACACUUUUAGAUCUAGCAAUUGAGUCAAAGGCGUUUCAUGCAAUAAACUUGCUUUUGCAUAAUCCACAAUAUAGAGAUCAAUUGAAGAAGGAAGUAUUUCUUUCAUAUAAAAUAUGUGCCUCAAAAUCACUCGAAAUGUUGAAGGCUUUUAUUAACAGUGGAUGGGAUAUUAAUGAAAUACAUGACGAUAAUAUGACUGUAAUUCAUUAUGCUUCUUGUAAUGAGAACGAUUUAUCAACUCUUCAAUUUAUAAUUGAGAAUGGUGGAAAUGUAAAUGUGCGUAAAAAAAAUUCUUAUGAAUUGCCAAUCCAUUUUGCAUUUCGUUAUGGCAGCGAGGAUAUCGUGAAAUUGCUUUUUUGUAAUGGUUCAAAAAUAGAUGUUGGCGAUCAGUAUGGCAAUUUUCCAAUACAUCUGGCAUGUAUGAAUAAAAAGUAUGCUUACAAUAUUGUAAAACUACUUCUAAAAUUGGGUCAAAGUUUGGAUAUUUGCAAUAAAAACGGUAGUUUUCCAGUAAAUUUUGCAUGUCAGUAUGGCAGCGUGGAUGUUGUAAAAUUGCUUCUUGAUCAUGGUGCGAAAGUAGAUAAUUGCGAUCAAGAUGGGAACCUACCAAUACAUCUCGCAUGUGAGAAUAGAAAGUAUGGUUGCGGUAUUGUAAAAUUACUUCUAGAAACGGGACAAAGUUUGCAUGUUUGCAAUAAAUUUGGUAAUUUUCCAAUACAUAUAGCAUGUGAACAUGGCAGCGUGGAUGUCGUACAAUUGCUUCUUGAUUAUGGUUCGAAACUAGAUGUUUGCAAUCAGUAUGACAAUUUACCAAUACAUCUCGCAUGUGUGAAUGAAAAAUAUGGUUGCAAAAUUGUAAAAUUACUCCUAAAAAUUGGUCAAAGUUUAGAUGUUUGUAAUAAAUUUGGUAGUUUUCCAAUAAAUUUUGCAUGUCAGUAUGGCAAUACGGAUGUUGUAAAAUUGCUUCUUGAUCAUGGUUCAAAAAUAGAUGUAUGCGAUCAAGAUGGCAAUUUGCCAAUACAUCGAGCAUGUACGAAUGAAAAGUAUGGUUGCGACAGUGUAAAAUUACUUCUAAAAAAAGGUCAAAAAUUGGAUGUUUGCAAUAAAAAUGGUACUUUUCCAAUACAUUUAGCAUGUCAUUAUGGCAGCGUGGAUGUCGUAAAAUUGCUUCUUGAUCAUGGAUCAAAAGUAGAUGUUUGUGAUCAAGAUGGCAAUUUGCCAAUACAUCGAGCGUGUAUGAAUGAAAAGUAUGGUUGCGAAAUUGUAAAAUUACUUUUAAAAAUGGGCCAACGUUUGGAUGCUUGCAACAAGAAUAAUAAUUUGCCAAUCCAUUUUGCAUGUCAGUUUGGGAGCUUGGAUGUUGUAAAAUUUCUCAUUGGUCAAGGUGUAAAAAUAAAUGCUUGCAACCAAGAUGGUAACCUACCAAUACAUUUCGCAUGCAUGAAUAAAAAAUAUGAUUACGAUAUCGUCAAAAUUCUUUUAGAGCAUGGUGCAAUUGUGGAUGUUAUUAAUAAAAAAGGGAAAAAACCUAUUGAUUUAGUUCUUCAAAACGCAGAAAAUCGUCAAAAAUUAAUUACACUACUGCAAAAUUUGGAACAAAAUACUUGAUUAUUCUAAUAACACCUACCGGGUUGUAAUUACAUCAUAAAUUUAAAAUUAGAUCAAUUUUCUAAAAUGUGCUUAAUUCUAGUUUUAACUGGAUUUUCUAUUACCUAAGUGUUUACUAAAAUACCAAUGAUAAGAAAAUUGCUUGUGGCGGUAAAUUUCAUGGCUAAAACAUUUUUUUUUAAAUCAUUCGUAGAGUAGUAUUUUUCAGUACUCAAAUGUCAUUUUGAAAUUAACCGUCUUCAUGUUUGUUAACCGAGAUAGUUCACAAAUAUGUAGAGGAAAUUACGAAGUACAAGCCACUUUUCUUUACCUCUACCAUCAGUUUACAGCAAGGUUUAAAGUGUUUCUUUUUUGUUUAAAAGAGUUUGGAAUAUUUUUUGCGUUUUAUUGUUUUUUAUUUAUAUAUUUUACCGAAUUAUUUUUUUAAAUAAUGUUAAUAAAAUUGGAAAAUAGUUAUUAAAGAUUAGAUCUCUCAUUGAAACUGCAAAUUACAUUAGCUAUUAUUUUUCUGAAGUGCAUGAUAAAUUUAUAACAGUUAAUUCUGAGAGUAAAAUGCGAUGUUGGCGUUUUUAUAGUUUUGGAACAGCUAAUAGCUACUCGUACGUAUAUAUCUACUGGUAAUUACCUACUCUGAAAAUGUAUGUAUAUUUGUCUUGAUACAAGUUAAAUUAAAAUAAUUUUAUAUACGGCAGUGAGAAUGUGGUGAAGUCUUAAUUUAAUAUCCGUUAAAAGUUUUAAUCUGCUUAUUUAAAUUUUGUACCACUCAAUGAAAAACAAUGACAAAGUGACAUUUAUAGUUCAUAUAACUGCCAUUGUCCCAUUUUUUAUUAAAUCAAUUGUAGCUAUGUAUUGGCUGUUUCAAAACUAACGGCAGCAUCACAAUUUAUCGAAUAAUUUUUUUAAAUAAGGUUGAUAAAAUUGUUGAAUAGUUAUUUUAUUAUUGAUUAAUGAUCUCAUUGAAAGCAUAAAUUAUAUUAACUAUUUUUUAAGUGUAUGAAUAAUUUAUAACAGCUAAUUUUGAGAGAAAAUGCGACGUUGGCGUUUUUAUAGUUUUGAAACAGCUUAUAUGUUUUUAUAAAUUUUUGUCGUCCGUCAACUAAUUUUUAAAUAAUUGGAGUAAAGGUAAAUUGAUCAAUUAAGUUUUUUUAUUUGAACAUGAUUUUAUUUCACUUAUUUUGAAACAUUAUUUUUUGAGUAGAUACUUGUGAGGUUUGUAGUUUGUAUCGUUUCAUUAUUUUUAUCUUUUUAAUAUGCAUCAAACACUCGAGGUACAAUACUAGAUUUUGGGGAAAAAGUUCAUACUGUAUUAGUACUAUGCAAAUUGUGUAACCGAAAGUAGAUUUUUUUUCUUCAGUUUUGUUAUGCUGAUGUAAUUGUAAAUUGAAAAUGAAAAUUCAUAAAGAGUCUCAGAAUACUCUCAUUUGUUUUGUUAACUCCUUGACUUUGGCAACACCUUAUUUAUUUGUAAUUAAGUUAAAUGUAUAUUAGAAAAUAAUCAAACUAAAUAAAUUUUAUGUGCCAUCUAUUUAUAAAAAUACAAAUAUUUACUUUGAAAAAUUUUACAAAAUAUAAAAUCAAGACCGUCCCAUACUAAACCGAGUGCCCCCAUAAUCAAGGGUGUCAAAGAAUCAACGAAAACAUUUAUGAACUUCCAAAAUUUACCAUUACCAUUUUUAAAUACGAAAUAUGUAGAUAUGGAAGAGAAGGUUUCCAAAUAAAAAUGGUUUGAUGACGUUGACAACGUUUGUUCCCUAGUUAAACAUUUUUAAUUUUUCUACACUUGUACUUGUCUUUAAGCUACUUAAAGGUAAUGAAGAAACAGCUGUGCUUAAGUUUUUCCUAGUCGGCACAAAUAAGUUUGAAUGUGAAAUUAUUAGAGAAAACAGUAAAAAUGUGUUUCAGUGUGUCCAGUCUGGGAGUUAGGUAUUCCUUCCAUACGUGCUGGAUACAAAUGCCGACGUUCCCAGAAACGCUGGAACAAAAUCAUUCCAUUUAGUUCCAAAAGGGAGCAAAUUGUUGAUGUUUUGGGUAAUUUUACUAGACAUAGGCCCCUGUAAUCGACUGAAGACCUUUUACCAAAUUUGCUUUAUUUGAAAAAAAUCACCGGACUUUUGUCUUAAUAAUAAUAAUUCGACUGGCUAACCUGAAACCAAAGGUAGGAUCUACACCAGGACCAGUGUUACAUCCGCACCAAUCGAGGAAUGGAUAAGUUGUGAGAAUUUGUUUCGGUCUUCUGGACUCCGAGUGAAGAAACAGAAGAAGAAAAUUAUGAAAAGAUGCAAUUGUAACUUAUACGGUGUCAAAUGCAUUGUUUGUGUUGAAUAUGUUGAAAAAUUUAUUACUUGUCAUUAGUCUAGGGUUUUUGUUGUUUAAAAUUUACAAAAAAUUAAAAAAAAACUGCAUGUUCUAUUAAACAGUAUUAAUCUACUAUGUAAAAUAAUUGAAGUAUAUUGUAUUUUUUAAACGAUUUUAGGUCUUAGUAUUUGAUGUUAUCGUUAAAAAUGUUAUUAAAUUUUAUGGCAAAAUAGUUAACUUUUGACAGUCUUGAUGUAACUACCUAGUGUUGAUUGCGCGUGAUGUAAUGAUGUGCGAGUGAAUGGAAGAAUGGAAAGUGUUUCAGAAUUUUUAUGUGAUACAAACAUUGUAAAUAAUUUAUGUAUUUUAGUUGUUUAAACGAUUCUUUACUAAAUUUACUUGUAUAAAGCUUUUUCGUUGGCCAAAAAAUGUCCUCCAAAUAAGAACUGUGGAAAUAACCAUACUCAGCCGUUUUGAAUCGUAUGUAAUUUGUUUUUGUUGCGUAUUGAGAAUAGAAAUUAAGGCCCGGUUUAACCAGCUUUAGAUGAAUCCAAUAAACAGUUAAAAAUAUUUGUUACUAUAAUUAUAACAAUCGUUUCUGUUGAAUUAUUCUACUACUAAAUUUCACCUCCAUUGGUGAAACCGGGCCUUAGAUACUUUUUUCUAAUCAUGCCUAUUUGAGUCUUUUAUGUCGUUUUUGUAUUAAUAAUAGUUUUAUACUGUAACUGUAUUGUUGUAUUUAUUUCAAUGACUCUUUAUAAUUUGUGUUUUAUUUUAAUCUAAUUUGGAGGAUUGUAUUUUAUAAAUAUGUGAUUUGAUUUAAAAAUAAUUAUAAAUAUCUUUUAUUAGAA